GAUGAACGCUGGCGGCGUGCUUAACACAUGCAAGUCGAACGAGAAAUGGAGACGGACACCUUCGGGCGGAAGGCUUCAUUUCGAGUGGCGGACGGGUGAGUGACGCGUGGGUAACCUGCCUCAUACAGGGGGAUAACAGUUGGAAACGACUGUUAAUACCGCAUAAGACCACAGCACCGCAUGGUGCGGGGGUAAAAACUCCGGUGGUAUGAGAUGGACCCGCGUUCGAUUAGCCAGUUGGCGGGGUAACGGCCCACCAAAGCGACGAUCGAUAGCCGAUCUGAGAGGAUGACCGGCCACAUUGGGACUGAGACACGGCCCAAACUCCUACGGGAGGCAGCAGUGGGGAAUAUUGCACAAUGGGGGAAACCCUGAUGCAGCGACGCCGCGUGAGUGAAGAAGUACUUCGGUAUGUAAAGCUCUAUCAGCAGGGAAGAAAAUGACGGUACCUGAGUAAGAAGCCCCGGCUAACUACGUG
rnacentral:rRNA from 1 species